UACGGGGGGGGCAAGCGUUGUUCGGAAUUACUGGGCGUAAAGGGCUCGUAGGUGGCCAACUAAGUCGGACGUGAAAUCCCUCAGCUUGACUGGGGAACUGCGUCCGAUACUGGAUGGCUUGAGUUUGGGAGAGGGAUGCGGAAUUCCAGGUGUAGCGGUGAAAUGCGUAGAUAUCUGGAGGAACACCGGUGGCGAAGGCGGCAUCCUGGACCAACACUGACACUGAGGAGCGAAAGCCAGGGGAGCAAACGGG
rnacentral:rRNA from 1 species